AGUGAAGCGGGAUGAGCUCAAAUUUGAAAUCUGGCUGGUUUACUAGUCCGAAUUGUAGUUUAUAGAAGCGUUUUCGGUGGCAGUCUCGGUAUAAAUCCUUUGGAAUAGGGUAUCAUAGAGGGUGAGAAUCCCGUCUUUGACUGAGAAUAUGCUACUAUGUGAUACGUUUUCAAAGAGUCGAGUUGUUUGGGAAUGCAGCUCAAAAUGGGUGGUAAAUUUCAUCUAAAGCUAAAUAUUGGCGAGAGACCGAUAGCGAACAAGUACCGUGAGGGAAAGAUGAAAAGAACUUUGAAAAGAGAGUUAAACAGUGCGUGAAAUUGUUGAAAGGGAAACGCUUGGAACCAGUCAUGCGGUUGGGAAAUCAGUGUUUUGCAAGGGGGAAUGGGGGAGGUGUGGACCGUAAGGCUGCUCUUUCCUAUAUCUCUUUUGUAAGGCAUGCACUUUUUCUUCUGCAGGUCAACAUCAGUUUCUUCUGCUGGACAAAACCCUUGAGAAGGUAGCAGCUUUGGCUGUGUUAUAGCUCUGGGGCGAUACAGUGGAGGGGACUGAGGUUUUCGCAGCAUGUGCUCUCGGGCAAGGCUGAUUGGGUGCUAUGGGAUCGUUCAGGGUACAAUACAUGUAUUUUGCCUUGUGUCUUUUCUAUACUCGCUCAACUCGGCUCUUCCAUGCUUAGGAUGUUGACUUAAUGGUUCUAAUCGACC
rnacentral:rRNA from 1 species